AAGCACAAACUUUUUCCCUCUUUUCUUACGCGCAACCAAACCCAACCACCCAACCCUCAAAAGAAAAUCCCUAAUCUUGGAUCAAAAAAUGCUUGUUUCAAUUGGAAGAAUGAAGAAAACUGCUCACCACCUGCGCCAUCUCCUCCGAUUGCCCAUCUUGGAGUAAACUUCUUCGAAGUAAAAAUACAGCCCGUCUCCUCCAUUAUCAUCGACUGCUCGUCUAAGAAUUUUCUUCUUAUCAAGCUAUCAGCUCAUAUCAAGAAGUGAAGGUGAAGAAGGCAGAAGUUGCUCAACAUUCCCAUGAGGCACAAGUUGCUUGAAUUUCUUUGCAGUCGAUGCUCAACACUCCCAGGAGGUAGUAGUUGUUAUUCGUGCAGACAUUAGUUCACCAUUUUUACUUCGUGAUUGUUGUUUGUGAGGAUAAAUACCAUUUCAGAUCAAGAAUUUGAAGACAUGAAGCUUUCUUGAAGAUAGUGUAGAGCGAGUUGAAGCAGAUGAGAAAUGUUAAAGAAUAAAUUGAAGUACAAGAGGAACCCACUUUGUUUUGCGAAGGACUUUUUAAAGAUAUUGCUGUUUGUAUAUGCUAUAGUUCUAUUUUUUCUUUUUUUAGGAGUUGAAUAAAAUAAUGUUAGUACAAUUUAGAUAAGUAUAUUUUUGGUAAUGUGAUAUUCUAAUCUUUUGUAAUCAACAAUGAUGUUUAUAUGAGUAUUGACUUUUUGUA